AGAUCAUGGCUCAGGAUGAACGCUGGCGGCGUGCCUAAUACAUGCAAGUCGAACGAGAGUGCUUGCACUCUAGUGGCGAACGGGUGAGUAACACGUAGGUAACCUGCCUUACAGUUGGGAUACCCUGGCGAAAGCUAGGCUAAUACCGAAUAAUUGGAUUGGAGGCAUCUCCGAUCUCUAAAAGGGGCCUUUAAAGCCUCGCUGAAUGAUGGACCUGCGGCGCAUUAGCUAGUUGGUGAGAUAACAGCCCACCAAGGCGAGGAUGCGUAGCCGACCUGAGAGGGUGAACGGCCACACUGGAACUGAGACACGGUCCAGACUCCUACGGGAGGCAGCAGUAGGGAGUUUUCGGCAAUGGGGGCAACCCUGACCGAGCAACGCCGCGUGAAUGAUGAAAGGUCUUCGGAUUGUAAAGUUCUGUUAUAAGGGAAAAAUGAUAUGGUGAGGAAAUGCUCCAUAUUUGAUGGUACCUUAUUAGAAAGCCACGGCUAACUACGUGCCAGCAGCUGC
rnacentral:rRNA from 1 species